CAGCAGCCGCGGUAAUACGUAGGGGGCAAGCGUUGUCCUGAAUUAUUGGGCGUAAAGCGCGCGCAGGCGGUCGGGUAAGUCUGAUGUUAAAGCCCGGGGCUCAACCCCGGUUCGCAUUGGAAACUGCUCGACUUGAGUGCAGAAGAGGAAAGCGGAAUUCCACGUGUAGCGGUGAAAUGCGUAGAGAUGUGGAGGAACACCAGUGGCGAAGGCGGCUUUCUGGUCUGUAACUGACGCUGAGGCGCGAAAGCGUGGGGAGCAAACAGGAUUAGAUACCCUGGUAGUCCACGCCGUAAACGAUGAGUGCUAGGUGUUGGGGGUUUCAACACCCUCAGUGCCGCAGCUAACGCAAUAAGCACUCCGCCUGGGGAGUACGCUCGCAAGAGUGAAACUUAAAGGAAUUGGCGG
rnacentral:rRNA from 1 species